rnacentral:rRNA from 1 species
AACCGGGAUUGCCUCAGUAACGGCGAGUGAAGCGGCAAGAGCUCAAAUUUGAAAGCUGGCUCCUUCGGAGUCCGCAUUGUAAUUUGCAGAGGAUGCUUUGGGUGCGGCCCCCGUCUAAGUGCCCUGGAACGGGCCGUCAGAGAGGGUGAGAAUCCCGUCUUGGGCGGGGUGUCCGUGCCCGUGUAAAGCUCCUUCGACGAGUCGAGUUGUUUGGGAAUGCAGCUCUAAAUGGGUGGUAAAUUUCAUCUAAAGCUAAAUACUGGCCGGAGACCGAUAGCGCACAAGUAGAGUGAUCGAAAGAUGAAAAGCACUUUGAAAAGAGAGUUAAACAGCACGUGAAAUUGUUGAAAGGGAAGCGCUUGCGACCAGACUCGCCCGCGGGGUUCAGCCGGCAUUCGUGCCGGUGUACUUCCCCGUGGGCGGGCCAGCGUCGGUUUGGGCGGCCGGUCAAAGGCCCCUGGAAUGUAGUGCCCUCCGGGGCACCUUAUAGCCAGGGGUGCAAUGCGGCCAGCCUGGACCGAGGAACGCGCUUCGGCACGGACGCUGGCAUAAUGGUCGUAAACGACCCGUCUUGAAACACGGACCAAGGAGUCUAACAUCUACGCGAGUGUUCGGGUGUCAAACCCGUGCGCGCAGUGAAAGCGAACGGAGGUGGGAGCCCCCUUGCGGGGCGCACCAUCGACCGAUCCUGAUGUCUUCGGAUGGAUUUGAGUAAGAGCGUAGCUGUGGGGACCCGAAAGAUGGUGAACUAUGCCUGAAUAGGGCGAAGCCAGAGGAAACUCUGGUGGAGGCUCGCAGCGGUUCUGACGUGCAAAUCGAUCGUCAAAUUUGGGUAUAGGGGCGAAA